GUCGAGAGAAGAACGGACACAUGAUACAUCACCACAUAUCCUGACUUUAGCGACACAAUAAUCGGUUUGUCUCGGGGGUUGAUGGUACGAAUGACGGUGACUAAGUCAGAGAUGAAGACAGGAGGUGAAAGACGUCCUUCACUCUUUCUUCAACUCUUUCCUGGUUUAUACCUGUUGAGUUAAAUUUCUGGGUUGUAUUUCAGAUCCAUCCCCAUUUCUCGGGUCAAAUGGAUUCUAUUGGAACCCAGUUUGCAUGGAGAUCCCUGAACGGCAUGACCAGAGUAUGGAGCUCCAACCUCCCCGCCAAAUCAAACUCAGCUUCUUCUUCUACGCGACAGUAGAGUCCGUUCUCCUCUGUGACAGUGAACACUGGACCCUGAAGCCAACCCUGGAGAAAUCCCUGGAUGGGUGCUACUCCAGGAUGUGCUUAACAUCAGCAAGAACGCACAUGUGACCAACAGAACACUGUCCGAGGGGAUACCACGGGUGAGCGAGAAGAUCGCUGGGAGGAGAAUGAGACGAGCAGGACACUGUCAAAGCCAGCAAAUUGGUGCUGUGGGAAUCAACACAUGGUCAUCAGUCAAGAGGACGUCCAACACUAACAUACGUGGACAUACUCAAGAGGGACGCAGGAGCUCAGAGUACCAACGAACUGGAGAGAUGUUUGGAGAAUCAGGAUGACUGGA